AUAGUAUAUAUAUAUAAUUGAAUAUAUAAGUAUUCAAUUAGUUCUGUCCCUCUAGAGAACCCUGAGUAAUACACUCAUCUCUACUAAAAAUAAAAAAAUUACCCAGGCAUGGUGGUGCCGCCUGUAGUCCCAGCUACUCGGGAGGCUGAGGCAGGAGAAUCCCUUGAACCUGGGAGGCAGAGGCUGCAGUUAACUGAGAUCACCCCAUUGCACUCCAGCCUGGGUGACAGAGAGAGACUAUCUCCAAAAAAAAAAAAGUAUUAACUGUUAAGAGACUUGCAGACAUAUUCUCAAGCCAUCACUUACAGCCACAAUAAUAGAACAUAUUUCAUACAUUUCCUUUAAGAUUGAAUGAGUUAAAUGCAGACCAUGUAAAUAUGUGAGGAGCUCCUAGCAAAAUUCUUCGCACAUGGUCUAGGAUUGGGAUGAUGAGUUUCCCAGGCAAUACCAUUGCUGCUGGCCACUGGACCACGCUUUGAAGGGCACAGAGUACUGUGUGUGGGAGAGACUGAAGAGACUUCAGAGAAGGAGGACAAAGAUUCCUCCUGAUGUCCACGAAUUCAGGAAAGAGCCUCAGGAGCUCUAGGAACAGAGAGAUGUCUGUCUGCCUAGGGCUUGUGUGAGAGAGGACCCAAUAGAUAGUCUGCAGAGCCCACUGCAUCUUCCCAGAGAAGAGUCAGCUUGCUCCUCCACGAGGCCCUCCCAGUGCUCCCUGCUUGAACUGCUGCCAGGCCUGGAGAGGGGAAGCUUUCCAGGGAAGUGAGGGACUCCCUAUAUCCCCCCUCUCCUCCCACUCAUCCUUACCUCGUUACCCUCCAGCACUGGGUACAGGAAGACUUACAAGGGCCCAUUGGGAAGGUGGGCUGGCGGCUGCUGAUGUAGGGAAUUUUCUGCAUCUCAUGGUUGGCAGAAGGCUAGUGGCUCUGUGCACCUUCUGAGCCCAGAAGGAAAUAUAAAAUUGCUUUUAGGUAGUUAUAGUUAGGACUUCCCUGCCUCACAUAGUGUGGUAUAUACAGGCGGAUCAUCAACCAAGUCGCAUCCCUUUCCCCCUAGUCAAAGAGUAGGUCUACAUGUCCCAGGCCCCUCCUGCCAGGUGCAGCUCCAUGACUGAGUUCUGGCCCAUGGAAUGUGGAGGCACGUUAAGCCAUUUUUAGGCAGGCCAUGAAUUCCUCCUGGGUCUGUUCCCUGUGCUCUAAUCCUCAUCUACUGGCUAAGCAAGGAGCACCCGCAAAGGCCUAGAGGAGGCUGAGCCAUGAGACGGACGGACCCUUGAUCUUUGAAUGACUGUGUCAACUGUGACUUAAGAGAGAAUACUAAAAUAGAAGGACAGCUUUAUUGUGUGAAACCACUAGAGCCUGUGGUUGUUAAAACAACCAACUUGAGUAACAAACAUAGAUAGGGGUGGGAAGUCAAGACAAAUAAGAAAACUGCCCACAAGUGCCACCUACCAACUGUCAGGAGCAAAACUGGGAGGUAGAGUGACUUGUACCUUUAAUGAAUUUUUCUCAUUGAGUCUUUGUGGGCAAACUUUUGGCUUCUGAAGACUGUGGGCAGCAAGUAUUAUGUCUUUGUAGGGUUUGCCUUUCCUUCUGAGGCUGAAAAAUAAGAGUUCUUGGUACGGGAUAAAAACACGUCAGUAAUGAGACAGUGUCACCUCUGAUUUCCUAAUUCCUUACCAUUGACACCCUGAGCAUCCGAGGCCAUGACUCGGUGGAUUUCUUGUGGCCUCUUUUUCUCUUUUGCUGGGAAAAUUUUCUUGCUUUUAAAAAUAUAGACGGUCAUCCUUUUAUGUAACAGUUUCUAAGCCCAAGGGAAUGACAAUAGUUCUCCAACCACAAAAUGCAGUUAUAAUUGUCUGAAGAACUAGUUCCCCUACAAAACAGGUGUAUAUAGAUGACCUAUUUGUAUUAAAAAGUGUCCAAAACACUAGCUUUGUGAUAUUAAAUGUAAUUAUCUUAUUCAACAAUAAUAUUGAUGAAGAAUAAUAGGGAGUGGUCGGGUGGCUAUGCUCUUCUUAUUGCCACACAAAAGUCUAAUGCAAUUUAUCAUAAACAUUAAGUUCGGAAAGAAAACCUCUCUUCAAAUAUGACAGAAUGUAUACAUUUUUC
rnacentral:lncRNA from 10 species